UACGUAGGUGGCAAGCGUUGUCCGGAUUUACUGGGCGUAAAGGGCGUGCAGGCGGUUUGUUAAGUGCAGGGUGAAAGCUCCCGGCUCAACUGGGAGAGGUCCUUGCAUACUGGCAAACUCGAGGGAGGCAGAGGAAAGUGGAAUUCCCGGUGUAGUGGUGAUAUGCGUAGAUAUCGGGAAGAACACCGAUGGCGAAGGCAGCCAUCUGGACCGACACUGACGCUGAGGCGCGAAAGCGUGGGGAGCAAACAGG
rnacentral:rRNA from 1 species